AGAGUUUGAUCCUGGCUCAGGAUGAACGCUAGCGGCAGGCUUAACACAUGCAAGUCGAGGGGCAGCGGUAUAGUGCUUGCACUAUAGCCGGCGACCGGCGCACGGGUGAGUAACACGUAUGCAACCUGCCCUUGUCAGGGGGAUAAUCGGGGGAAACCCCGUCUAAUACCGCGUAUAUGGUCCGGAGGCAUCUCCGGGUCAGGAAAGACUUCGGUCGGACAAGGAUGGGCAUGCGGCGCAUUAGCCAGUUGGCGGGGUAACGGCCCACCAAAGCGACGAUGCGUAGGGGUUCUGAGAGGAAGGUCCCCCACAUUGGUACUGAGACACGGACCAAACUCCUACGGGAGGCAGCAGUGAGGAAUAUUGGUCAAUGGGCGAGAGCCUGAACCAGCCAAGCCGCGUGAGGGAAGACGGUGCAGAGCAUUGUAAACCUCUUUUGUCAGGGAACAAAAGAUGCUACGCGUAGCAUAUCGAGUGUACCUGAAGAAAAAGCAUCGGCUAACUCCGUGCCAGCAGCCGCGGUAAUACGGAGGAUGCGAGCGUUAUCCGGAUUUAUUGGGUUUAAAGGGUGCGUAGGCGGAGAUUCAAGUCAGCGGUAAAAAUUCGGGGCUCAACCCCGUCGUGCCGUUGAAACUGAAUUUCUGGAGUUGAUGAGAAGUAUGCGGAAUGCGUGGUGUAGCGGUGAAAUGCAUAGAUAUCACGCAGAACUCCGAUUGCGAAGGCAGCAUACCGGCAUCAUACUGACGCUGAGGCACGAAAGCGUGGGUAUCGAACAGGAUUAGAUACCCUGGUAGUCCACGCAGUAAACGAUGAAUGUUAGGUGUUUGGUCCGAUUGAGGGCUGAGUGCCACAGCGAAAGCGUUAAACAUUCCACCUGGGGAGUACGCCGGCAACGGUGAAACUCAAAGGAAUUGACGGGGGCCCGCACAAGCGGAGGAACAUGUGGUUUAAUUCGAUGGUACGCGAGGAACCUUACCCGGGCUCAAACGCUGGAUGACGUCUUCGGAAACGGAGAUUUCUACGGACGUCCAGCGAGGUGCUGCAUGGUUGUCGUCAGCUCGUGCCGUGAGGUGUCGGCUUAAGUGCCAUAACGAGCGCAACCCCCACCGGCAGUUGCUACCGCGUAGCGGCGAGGACUCUGCCGGGACUGCCGUCGCAAGGCGAGAGGAAGGCGGGGAUGACGUCAAAUCAGCACGGCCCUUACGUCCGGGGCGACACACGUGUUACAAUGGCCGGUACAGCAGGAAGCCACCUGGUGACAGGGAGCGGAACCUGAAAGCCGGUCUCAGUUCGGAUUGGAGUCUGCAACCCGACUCCAUGAAGCUGGAUUCGCUAGUAAUCGCGCAUCAGCCAUGGCGCGGUGAAUACGUUACCGGGCCUUGUACUCACCGCCCGUCAAG
rnacentral:rRNA from 1 species